CAAAAAUUCGGCUGCUGCUCCUUCUCCAAGAGUUCUAAACCUCCAAGAACUUCCCCACACCAAGGACUCCAAACAAGAUCCAAGUCUUCCUCCUUAAAACCCAUCAGCUUUGAUAAGAUAAAGCCUCAAAAAAGAACCCCUGACCUUGGCCGAAAUCUUCAUCUCCCCACAAGCUAGGGUUUGGGAUUUUCUUCUUCUUCAAGCUUCAGAACUUGGGUUAGCUAUGGCGACAAGGAAGUCACGUACCGCGAGGGGUCGUUCUGCUACCCAGUCACCCGAGCCCGAACCUUUCAGUUGCACUGUCGACUUCCCUUCAAGGGCGAUUAACACCAGUGCGGUGGAAGGUCGCUCCGGCGAGGCUUAUGCUUCU